rfam:Hordeum vulgare subsp. vulgare, WGS project CAJW01000000 data, contig: morex_contig_94138
CAUAUACUCCCUCCAUCCCAAAUUAUUGUCUUAGAUUUGUCUAGAUAUAAAUGUAUGCAGUCACGUUUUAGUAUUUAGAUACAUCCUUUUCUAGACAAAUCUAAGACAAAAAAUUUAGGACGGAGAAAGUAUAAG